CACGUAGGGUGCGAGCGUUGUCCGGAAUUAUUGGGCGUAAAGAGCUCGUAGGCGGCUUGUCGCGUCGUUCGUGAAAACCUGCAGCUCAACUGCAGGCUUGCGGUCGAUACGGGCAGGCUGGAGUUCGGUAGGGGAGACUGGAAUUCCUGGUGUAGCGGUGAAAUGCGCAGAUAUUAGGAAGAACACCAAUGGCGAAGGCAGCUCGCUGGGACGGUACUGACGCUGAGGUGCGAAAGCGUGGGGAGCGAACAGG
rnacentral:rRNA from 1 species